AUACGGAGGGUGCAAGCGUUAUCCGGAAUCAUUGGGUUUAAAGGGUCCGUAGGCGGACUAUUAAGUCAGAGGUGAAAUCCCACAGCUCAACUGUGGAACUGCCUUUGAUACUGGUAGUCUUGAGUUAUAUGGAAGUAGAUAGAAUGUGUAGUGUAGCGGUGAAAUGCAUAGAUAUUACACAAAAUACCGAUUGCGAAGGCAGUCUACUACGUAUAUACUGACGCUAAGGGACGAAAGCGUGGGGAGCGAACAGGAUUAGAAACCCUAGUAGUCC
rnacentral:rRNA from 1 species